GUAUCUUUUUAUAAAAUUCUCGAAUUUUUAAAACACAAAACUACUACUGUCUCUGGUCCCAGGCCCCAUCCAUGCUUCUACCUCAUCCACCAAGUUAAUUGCUGGGCUGAUUUUCAGUAGAAGAAAUCAAGCUUUAAAUUCCAAAACUCUUCACUCUAAGAGUAAACAAAGGAAAAAACGAAGACCUAAGGAACUACAGACCAAUGUAGUCAGUCUUGGUGUCCAUCGAGAUCAUGGAGCAGUUCCCCCUGGAAACUAUGAGAAGGCACGUGGAAACUAAGGAGGUGACUGGUGACAGCCAACAUGACUUCACUAAGGGCAAAUGGCACCUGGCAAAUCUGGUGGCCUUCUGUGAUGGGGUUGCAGCUUUGGUGUGUGAGAGAAGAGUGACUGACAUCAUUUACCUGGACUCAUGCAAAGAAUUGGCCACUGUCCUGCAUGAAAUUUUGUAUCUAAACUGGAGAGACGUGAAUUUGACAGAGGCUCCAAUCGGUGGGCAAGGAAUUGGCUGGAUGGUUGCACUCAAGAAUUGUGGUCAAUGGCUCGAUGUCCAAGUGGAGAGCAGUGACAAGUGGUGUUCCAGUUUUGAGAUCAGUUUUGGGACCAAACCGGCUCCACAUCUUUAUCGAUUACAUGUUUUGUACUUUCCUGUACCCCUUUCAACCCUACACUCAUAUACAGGUUUUGUCCUCAGAAAACAGGGAUAGACAGUUUGUACCUAUCCCAGCCACUGAGUGCUCACUGUCAGUAUGGUGGCCUGACAAAGACGUGUCUGAACACUUGCAUAUCUACCCGGCAGGCAGAUACUUGUCCUUUGAUUUAAAAUUGGCAAGUGACCCAAGUGCUUUGUUUUCUCUUCCACCUAAUGCAUUCAGCAUUGGUAGCUCCUAGGACUCCAUUGAAGACAUUUUGCUCUUUUGUGGUUCAGACAAGGAGAAACUACUGUUUAAUAAUGAAAUUGUGUUGCUGGUGAUUCAGCUGAUCUGGUAUCAAAAGUCUUAAUGUAUAUGUCAGGUUUUCAGUGUAGAAGAUUCUGUGAAAGAUACCAUCAACUAUGACAGCUCAUAUCUACUGAACUAAGUCAAAA